rnacentral:rRNA from 1 species
CCUACGGGAGGCAGCAGUGGGGAAUAUUGCACAAUGGGGGAAACCCUGCUGCAGCGACGCCGCGUGAGUGAAGAAGUAAUUCGUUAUGUAAAGCUCUAUCAGCAGGGAAGAAAAUGACGGUACCUGAGUAAGAAGCCCCUGCUAACUACGUGCCAGCAGCCGCGGUAAUACGUAGGGGGCAAGCGUUCUCCGGCUUUACUGGGUGUAACGGGAGCGUAGACGGCGCUGCAAGUCCGGAGUGAAAGCCCAUGGCUGAACCAUGGUAGUGAUCUGGAAACUGUGGAGCGUGAGUGCGGGAGGGGCAGGAGGAAGUCCGAGUGUAGCGGUGAAAUGCGUAGAUAUUAGGAGGAACACCGGCGGCGAAGGCGGCCUGCUGGACCGUAACUGACGUUGAGGCUCGAAAGCGUGGGGAGCAAACAGGAUUAGAUACCCCAGUAGUC